GUCCAGACUCCUACGGGAGGCAGCAGUGAGGAAUAUUGGUCAAUGGGCGAGAGCCUGAACCAGCCAAGUCGCGUGAAGGAUGACGGCCCUACGGGUUGUAAACUUCUUUUGUCAGGGAGCAAUUGAGUCCACGUGUGGGCUUAGCGAGAGUACCUGAAGAAAAAGCAUCGGCUAACUCCGUGCCAGCAGCCGCGGUAAUACGGAGGAUGCGAGCGUUAUCCGGAUUUAUUGGGUUUAAGGGGUACGUAGGCGGAAUAUCAAGUCAGCGGUAAAAAUUCGGGGCUCAACCCCGUCGUGCCGUUGAAACUGAUGUUCUUGAGUGGGCGAGAAGUAUGCGGAAUGCGUGGUGUAGCGGUGAAAUGCAUAGAUAUCACACAGAACACCGAUUGCGAAGGCAUCUCACGAAUCCGCGAUUGACGCUGAUGCACGAAAGCGUGGGUAUCAAACAGGAUUAGAUACCCUCGUA
rnacentral:rRNA from 1 species